UACAGAGGGUGCGAGCGUUAAUCGGAGUUAUUGGGCGUAAAGGGCGCGUAGGCGGUGUAUUAAGUUAGAUGUGAAAUCCCUGGGCUUAACCUGGGAACUGCAUCUGAUACUGGUACGCUAGAGUGCGGUAGAGGAUAGUGGAAUUUCCGGUGUAGCGGUGAAAUGCGUAGAUAUCGGAAGGAACACCAGUGGCGAAGGCGGCUAUCUGGACUGACACUGACGCUGAGGCGCGAGAGCGUGGGGAGCAACCAGG
rnacentral:rRNA from 1 species